CAGCACCACGGGAAUACAGAGGGUGCGAGCGUUAAUCGGAUUUACUGGGCGUAAAGCGUGCGUAGGCGGCUUCUUAAGUCGGAUGUGAAAUCCCUGAGCUUAACUUAGGAAUUGCAUUCGAUACUGGGAAGCUAGAGUAUGGGAGAGGAUGGUAGAAUUCCAGGUGUAGCGGUGAAAUGCGUAGAGAUCUGGAGGAAUACCGAUGGCGAAGGCAGCCAUCUGGCCUAAUACUGACGCUGAGGUACGAAAGCAUGGGGAGCAAACAGGAUUAGAUACCCCAGUAGUCCCUGUCUCUUAUACA
rnacentral:rRNA from 1 species